rnacentral:tRNA from 1 species
GCCACCAUGGUCUAGCGGUUAGGACGCUGGCCUUGUAAUCCUGGGGUCUCGGGUUCGAUUCCCGGCGGUGCCC